rnacentral:rRNA from 1 species
GACGAACGCUGGCGGCGUGCUUAACACAUGCAAGUCGAACGGAAAGGCCCUGCUUUUGUGGGGUGCUCGAGUGGCGAACGGGUGAGUAACACGUGAGUAACCUGCCCUUGACUUUGGGAUAACUUCAGGAAACUGGGGCUAAUACCGGAUAGGAGCUCCUGCUGCAUGGUGGGGGUUGGAAAGUUUCGGCGGUUGGGGAUGGACUCGCGGCUUAUCAGCUUGUUGGUGGGGUAGUGGCUUACCAAGGCUUUGACGGGUAGCCGGCCUGAGAGGGUGACCGGCCACAUUGGGACUGAGAGACGGCCCAGACGCCUACGGGAGGCAGCAGUGGGGAAUAUUGCACAAUGGGCGGAAGCCUGAUGCAGCAACGCCGCGUGCGUGAUGACGGCCUUCGGGUUGUAAACCGCUUUCGCCUGUGACGAAGCGUGAGUGACGGUAAUGGGUAAAGAAGCACCGGCUAACUACGUG